rnacentral:rRNA from 1 species
AAUAGAUACCCUGGUAGUCCACGCCGUAAACGAUGAGUGCUAAGUGUUAGAGGGUUUCCGCCCUUUAGUGCUGCAGCAAACGCAUUAAGCACUCCGCCUGGGGAGUACGGCCGCAAGACUGAAACUCAAAGGAAUUGACGGGGGCCCGCACAAGCGGUGGAGCAUGUGGUUUAAUUCGAAGCAACGCGAAGAACCUUACCAGGUCUUGACAUCCCGUGACAACUCUAGAGAUAGAGCUUUCCCCUUCGGGGGACACGGUGACAGGUGGUGCAUGGUUGUCGUCAGCUCGUGUCGUGAGAUGUUGGGUUAAGUCCCGCAACGAGCGCAACCCUUGAUCUUAGUUGCCAGCAUUAAGUUGGGCACUCUAAGGUGACUGCCGGUGACAAACCGGAGGAAGGUGGGGAUGACGUCAAAUCAUCAUGCCCCUUAUGACCUGGGCUACACACGUGCUACAAUGGAUGGUACAAAGGGCAGCAAAACCGCGAGGUUAAGCCAAUCCCAUAAAACCAUUCUCAGUUCGGAUUGCAGG